AUUGAACGCUGGCGGCAGGCCUAACACAUGCAAGUCGAACGGUAACAGGAAGAAGCUUGCUUCUUUGCUGACGAGUGGCGGACGGAUGAGUAAUGUCUGGGAAACUGCCUGAUGGAGGGGGAUAACUACUGGAAACGGUAGCUAAUACCGCAUAACGUCGCAAGACCAAAGAGGGGGACCUUCGGGCCUCUUGCCAUCGAAUUUGCCCAGAUGGGAUUAGCUAGUAGGUGGGGUAACGGCUCACCUAGGCGACGAUCCCUAGCUGGUCUGAGAGGAUGACCAGCCACACUGGAACUGAGACACGGUCCAGACUCCUACGGGAGGCAGCAGUGGGGAAUAUUGCACAAUGGGCGCAAGCCUGAUGCAGCCAUGCCGCGUGUAUGAAGAAGGCCUUCGGGUUGUAAAGUACUUUCAGCGGGGAGGAAGGGAGUAAAGUUAAUACCUUUGCUCAUUGACGUUACCCGCAGAAGAAGCACCGGCUAACUCCGUG
rnacentral:rRNA from 1 species